CAGCGAGCAGAGGGGUAACCGCGGUCACUUUUCGGUCACCUGACAAAAGUUGAGCAAAGUGUGGUUUUGUGUUUCAGGCAUGAUCCUGAUUCAUGUUUCAUUGGAAUUUUUUUGAAAUUUGGCUUGGAUCAUGCAAAUUUUGAGUGCCCAGUCUUGGGCACCCGAUGGGCACCUUUUGGUUACCCAGAGCGGGCAGGGGGUCACUGGCGGUCACGUAACAAAAUUAAAAUUAAGGGUGGUUUUGCAUUUCAGGCAUGACCUUCAAUCAUUUUUCUCUGGAUUUUUUUGAAAUUUGGCUUGGUUCAUGUCAAAAUGCCAGUGCCCGGUCUUGGGCACCGAACGGGCACCUUUCGGAUAGCCGGAGCGGGCAGGGUGGUAACCGUGGUCCCUUGCGGUCACCUAAAAAAAUUAAACUAAUGGCGGUUUUGCAAUUCAGGCAUGAUUCUGAAUCAUGUUUUAUUGGAAUUUUUUGAAAUUUGGCUUGGAUUUUCCAGUGCCCAGUCUUGGGCACCCAAAGGGCACUUUUCGGGCAACUCGUAUGGGAUAACUGCGGUGUGACCGGUUCAUGAACUGUUUGGGUUAAUUUUUGGGCACAGAAAAAAUUAUAUUUUAUUAGUGAAAAUUCGCAUUUUUUAUGCAUUUUAAAAAGAUUGCUAAAAAGGGUCAACUUUUGGUUACCCAAUGGUUAACCCAUGCGUGGGCACAAUUUUCCUUUACUCGUUUUUACCCACAUAUUUUGUCUGAUUUUUGUUAUUAAAGGUUUUAAAACUUAUUUAUAGUAAAAGUGCACAAAAAUAAAUAAAAAACUUUGAUAACCAAGAGUGGCUACCCAACGGUUAACCAAUGGGCAACCUCAGAACCAACGUAAAUUCUUGAGAUCGUGUUUCAUAAAAAAUUAAUUAUUAUAAAUUUGUUUGGUUAAAACACCAAUUAGCAUUUUAAACUCGAUAAAUUAAAUCGCUUUGAGCACUUCUUACUUUUACUCAGCAUUAUCGCGCGCGUUUCUUUGUUACACUCGUAGGCCGCGCGUGUGGCGCCACUGUCGGCAGCAGCACCAGCUGCUGCCGGCUGCCUCUGGCUCAGUCGCUCAGCGAUUGAAAACAAGCAUGACGGCUGAGACGCGCUGAUUGCAUCAUCAUAUUUAGUCAAGAAUUUCGCCGUGUUUUCGGUUGCUAUUCGACAAAUCGACAACAUAAACGGAUUCUUGGAUGGAUUGUGGAUGUUCCUGAUGUUCCAAAAGGCUUGCACCGCGUCCCAGCCUGAUCAGGAUUUUGAUGUCCUCUGGUUGGGAAUAGCUGCCUUUACGCGAUAUGGACAUCCGAAUCAAGAGGGCCUGGACAACUAAACAAAACUUCUCCCGGUAAAUUCAGGGUAGUCUGCAGUUGUGUCCAUUUUCUGCUGUAAUGGAAUUGAUGCGACCAUGGACUAUGCUCCUGCUGAGAUGAAAAGCAACGUUCGUGUUUUGACAGAAAGUGCUGAACGACAUGAGUAGGGAUUAGGGAAUCUAAGUGGUAAUCUUUUGUAUGUUUAAUGGCAAGUUUCAUGUUUGACUCUUGAAAAUUAAUUUUAACAAGGCUUCAUUUUUCUGGUCAAAUACUUUAGUUCUCAUUACUGAUAUUUUGUAACAACUUCAUUAAAUUCCUAUAAUUAGUUUUGUGAUUUAGUUUUGUUUGCGGCAUAUUUUUUGAUUAAGUUGGCUUCCUCUUUAUGAAGAUAAGUAUUUGCUAGACAGUAUAUUGUGGCAACAAAAAUUUUGAGUUUAUUACUCGAAUAACCAUCAUAGGCUUAAAAUUAACAAUUGCAAAAGCCUUUAAUGUUUGAAUUUAAAAAAACAGUAGAUAUGCCGCCGUAUACUUUUGAAUUUAAUUCCCUUCGUCACUUUUUUUCAUUAAAUACUGCUGCAGUGCCUUCUGGACUAAAAAUAAUUCAUUUUAAUGUGCUGUAAUCCAAAAUCAGUUCAACCAUUCACCCUAGAAACAUCAGCAAAUUGAAAACAAAUAUAAUUACUCUUCGACGAUGAUUGGCUUAACUGUUUUUUGGUUUCCAGCACAUCAAUUAGAAUUAUAUUGGUUAAGGGUUGAAUGUUGAAUGCACAGCAGGACCAUGUCCUCUAUCUCAUUGGAAUCUUAUUAAAUCAAAAGUAGCAGCUGAUGUUGCCAAUUAAUGACAGCCAAAGGGGUAUUCCAAACUGCUGGUGAACUCGUAAAAUUUUUAUAAUCAUCCAACAUUAUUUGUUUUAUUGCUGCAUCACCUCAAAAAUAAUGUUUUAUUAUAGUUUUAAGUAUAAAAUCUUAUUAAUUUGUAAGUGUGCAGUUCUUCAAAGUCUAUUGUACGCGAUUUUACUGUGUUGAAAAAUUGUUUACAUUUAUUAAUUUAUUUUUUUAAUUGUAAUUGCUUAUUCUGUUAUUGAAAGGUGGAAUGUAACUUAACUGCAUUAGGUAUGACCUUCGAAUUUUGACUGCCAAACCUAGUUUUUAAUUGUGAACGACUUUUAAUUCGCAGGUCAAAGGUCAUGGUCACAUUUAUUUUUUGAAAAUUCAAUAUUUAAGUAUGAUAGCCUUCAGAUUUUUUUGGGUUCAUGGCAGAAAUGUAGCCCGUGAAAAUCUGCACAAGCACACCAAAUUUAAGAGGCACAAAAAUAGCGUUUUUUGUAAUUUGAAAAUUCAAGUUCAAAUUCGGCUCGAUGCCACUUGAUCGUGCAUGGCCUUCGGUCAGCGAGUUGCCUAUCAUUCGGCGAUGAUGUUUUAAUCCAUUCCAUUUUAUUAGGCACGUCAAGAGGACCAAGGAUAGACAUAGUUAGAUCAUAAUCAACCUUCAGGGUCUGAACCUGACGAGACCCUGAGAUAAUAAUUUAGAAAAUGUCCAAUUUCAUCAAUCAUAGUGUCUUUUUAUAGGUUUUCGCUGCUUUACAGCUCAAUAAUACUGCCGAAUGACAAUCCUGAAACCGGUUCUUGAAAUAUUUGUGAAAGCCAUUAAUCCUGACGUGAUGUUUAAAAGUGUUAAAAUUUGAAAUCAGCAGUUUUGACUUUAUAUUUGAUCUGUAGACCGGUGAUAACCUACGGAAAGACACCAAGUUUGAUGAAAUUUGAUAUUUUAAAAAAAAUUAUCUCAGGGUCACGUCAGGUAAAGACCCUGAAGGUCGGUAUCGACCUCAGUAUGUCUACCCUGGGCCCUCUUGAUGUGUCUAACCAAAUGGAAUGGGUAAAAAUAUUCUCGACGAAUGAUGGGCGAACUCGCCGACUAAAGGCCGUGCUCGAUCGAGCGGCAUCGAGCCGGAUUUUAAUUUUCAAAUUCAAAUUACAGCAAAACUACUGUUGCACCUUUGAAACUUGGUAGGCUUGUGCAGAAUUUCAAGGGCUACAAUUCAGCCCUGAACCCCAAAAAGAUCUAAGGGUGUUAUCAUCCCUUGAUUUUUAAUUUUUGAGUAAAGGUCGCAAAAGGUGACCUUGACCUUUGCCCUGCGAAUUUUUUGUAGGUUGAUAAGUUGUUCAUGGUGGAAAACUAGGAUAGACAAUGAAAAUUUCAAGGUGAUAACUUAACCCAGUAAAGAGUUACAGUCCACCCUUCAUUCACAUUAUUUUAUUUUCGGGGAUUUUUAAAAAUCAAAAAUCUUCAAAUUUGAUGUAUAAAAUGUAUUAUUUAAUUGUACGUUAAUUGUUGUAUGAAUAUCAUCCAAUAAAAGUGCUGCCCAUCUAGCCGCCCACUGAAGGUAACCGCAGGCGGG